ensembl:lncRNA
CCUCGAGCGCGCUGCCCCGCGCCCGGCCUCGGGGCUCCGCAGGCGGCGGGGAGAGUUCGGAGAUAAUGGGAGCUGAUCAAGAAGAGAGAGGCACAGAGUCUCGUAAUUGUUUCCCCAAACAAUGUAAUUUCCAGUACGCACAGGACACUCAUGAAAACACAGCGAUACCAGAACAAAAACUGAAAUAUGUCAUCCAAAUGGCACAUGGAAAGCCAUUGCUGAUGACCUACAUUUUUAAACCAUCCUCCAGAAUGGUUUGGAGGAUUUUUUUAUGACUGUUCUGAUACAAAUGGUACCCCGGCAUAAGAAAAAGUAAACCUUACACACUACAUUAAAGCGAUAAAAGCAUCUGGAGGUCAGAUACUCUGCUAAGGAAGCAGCUAGCAAACUGAGAUGUUAGCAAACAUUUUCAGUGUAGUAAGGGCCUAGAUACACUGUUUUAAAUGAAUAUUUCUAUGCAUGCUGUUAGUGAUGGCCACAUUUUCAAAUUUCAGAAUAGCUAAGUAGGAAGCUCGAUGAUACUGGUAGAGAGAAAUGCAGCAUGUCAUGGAAGAUGCUGUCACGAGCGGGUGGACUGCAGGUGGACUUUAUCGUUCCCAUUGUGAAAGCAUUAAAGAACAGAAGCGUCGUGCCCUGACAUUGAGUUACAUGCCGUGAGUAUUGAUCCAGUACGAACAGUGCAGUUCCAGUCUCUUACUAAUUUCAGUUCUGUCUGAAAAGUCAGAAGUACUCAGAAAUACUCCAUUAUGGAGCCGGGUUUGAAAAGUCUCAGUGUUCAUCAAGCACAUCGCGCUCACACUUCUCUUAGAACCAUUCUUUUUUUGCUUUCUUUUGGUACUGUUUGAAGUGCCGGGAUGUUAUACGGCUACUAGAAAAAAAGAAUGGUGAAAAAAUGGUGAUUGACUCUAGUGGGGGGAAUCAGGUGUGUACCCAGGGGUCAUUACGGCCGGUAAUGACAACAAAUUGCAGCUCCAUGCAAACUGCUCGAAAGGGGUAUAUCAUCUUUGUAGGAGAGAGAACAACAGAACUGUACGAUGAAUUCAUGCCAAAUCAUUCAUCAGCUUUUGCCAAGAGAAUACUACAUCUUUGUUAGUGAGCCUUUUUGACAUUUUCUCCUGGAUUUUCUUCUUUUUUACAUUCAAACGCUCGCUAAUUAUACACAUUAAAUCGCAUACAUUGAUUUUUUGUAGCUUUUCAUAUGCAAAUACAAAUAUAGAUGUCUACUUGUGUGUAUUUACUUACGUGUGCUCUAAGAUAAAAUAUAAAAUUGACUACACAUUUAUACACGUUUUAUCUGAGCAAAAAUAUAUACAUUUAAACCCAAUAGCAUCCACCGAUAACACCUCGACAGCAGCUCAGAACUUCCCAACGUGCUCCACAACUCACGAUCAGGAAAAUAACCCACAAAGUUUAACAGAGAUUUACUUUGAAAUGUUGACUCUUUAACGAAAAGCUGACUUUUCAAACCAAGGAGUUGGUACCACUCCUGUUCCUUCCAUGUGUUUCAGCAAGUCGGCUGCAGGAUUGGAACGAAGAGCCUCUGAAAUAGAGGCCCCCAGCACAAUGCAAUCAGGCUGCUAUAAAAGGCAACACAUGCCAGUUUUCCUCCCCAAUGGCAGAUGCCACACCCUCAAGCAGACAGAAGGCACUGCAGUCUGUGCACGGGAAGCACAACACAAAGCAGCGAUGGUUCGGUUUUGUAGAUCACAAAUAAUGUUGAAAUUCCUUUUGCCAUCUUUGCUCAGAUGAUGAGUGGUAGUGUUUGUUAAAUUCACAUCCUCCUUUCCAAAAGCUCUCGUUGUAUGCAUGAAUUAUGAAUUUAUUAUAAUAUAAUGUAAGAAAGCUCUAAUUGCCAUGCAUAUUAUCUGCUGCAAAAUGAUUGCGUUGAUAUUUGAUACCACAAACGUGCAGUUUCAACUUUCGUUCCAUUUUCAUUGUUUCUUCACUGUAAUUAUUUUCCAUACACCAACGUUGUCCAGGCAUGGAUUCUUUUCUCAGUUUCUUCCCUGAUGAAUGACAAACUCCCGUGCCCUGGGAUCCUUUUCCAGGAUAAACAGUAACAUUUUCUGAACGUGUUGUUGGCCAUUGGUGUGCGACAUUGGCUGUGAUGCCUGCACAGGCCCCUGAGCCCUGGUGAAAGUUAGCACUGUGUCCCUGUUGGGUCAUUGCAGUAGCUUUUAAGUCAUACAUUGUGACAGCAAAGAGAGAUACGGAAUGCAAACCGAUGGGUUAAGAGCUCCAAGGCGUUAUUUUGGAGAUGCUGAAAGAAACGGCAUUGUUGGGCUGCUUAAUUUGUAUUUAUGUGUUGUACAUAUAUAUGCGCGUUAUGUGAGAACACAGUCAGAGGUUUAGGAGCCCAUUGCAUCUGACCUGGGUAUCUACAAGAGCCUUAAAAAUCCCUUCAUCCCUUUUUGUUUGGUUCUUGUUUUGCUUUCUGUUUAAAUCCACUGUGCGGUUAGAUGAAACAGUUGUCAAAUUCUCCGUAAUUCUCAAUUUCCUCCUUUAGACUGGCAUUAGAGUUAAUGAGCAAAAAAGAGAGAAGUAUGUGGGCUUUUAUUAAAUUAUUGCUUCUUUUACUAGUUAAACACCCAAUCCAAAUCGUUCCGAAGUCAGUGCAAAUCUUUUAAUUGAUUUCAAUAAGGCAUAAAUCAGAUCACAGAAAAGUAAGCAGCCAGCUCUGAGCUCUAACUUUAUUCUUUAGCUCGGUAUUUGGAGCCCCAGUAAUGGGAUUUUCCCUUUAAGAGAACCUUUAUGUGGUCGACACACACAUAAAUAUAACAUAGCAGUAUUUUCUUUAUUAUGUAAUAUUUACAUUUCAGUCGCAAAUGGAGUAUGUAAACUAUUGCAGUUGAUACCCAGCUGAUAAGCAAGAAUCUGUUAGGUGUAAAGGCUGCUUGUGAGUGUAAUCAUUUUAUUUCAGCUGGUCAUAAUGAACUUGGAAAAAACACAGUUUAUGCCAACAGAUUGUGGCCUAAAACAUGUACAGAGUGACACAUUCUACCAUUUAAUUAAAAUCCAUUCUUUAGCAGCCACUAAUCCCAGGCAAUUUAAUCAUUUUUUUUUUCUGUCAAUGUGUAAACAAAAGGACUUCAAAACAUCACCAUCUCCAUCUCAAGAAUGUCACACGUGAUUAUAUUAUGGAAAUGCAACAUUAGCCAUUUUUCACCUUGCAGGAUUGAACAGAUGCGGUUCUACAAAUGCACAUCAUCCAUUGAAGUCAAUAAGAUCACUCACUUCCUUAAAGUUAAGCCCAGAUUAAGUGCUUCUGCAGACCGAGGCCUCUAGGAACAACAGCUCCGGAGUCUGCACUUUGGUGAGAUAGCAGCCCACGCGCUUUUCUAAAUCAAAACAAAAUCUUCUACUUUGCACUGAGAGGAGGUGGUCUUGAUUUCUGCCUUUACCCACCGCUGAAAUUUGAGCCUUUAAACUGAAUUUCAUCAACAUUUCUGGAUCUUUUGUCAUUGUCUGAGAAUAGCAUUGAAUUCUGGAGAAACCUAGGAAAAGGGCAGCCUUCCUUUAAAUGAGAAAUUGACGGUCCUGUUCACAUUUAAAGAGGAAAUCUUAAGCAAGAUUCAGUGCAAUGGUAAUCACAGAGUUCUCUGGUAAUGUUUGUUUGUUUGUUUGUUUGUUUGUUUUUCCCUAAUAUUUCUGUCUUUUACAAAUCUUUUCUUUGCUGAUGUGCAAGAGACAGAACUAACCCAUUGGGAAAGCAGAAGAAAUAUUUGCCAUUAGCUGCACAUUGGUCAGAGAUCCUUUCUUUUGUGAGCUGUAGUGGGCUGGCCUGGCUGAUGCAUAGAAGAAACAGUCAGACUCUUAACACACAGUUUUCAGACUCAUAAAAUAAACAAGAUUAGUAACUUAGCUCUAAAUAAGUGGCAUCUUUCGGGACUAAGGAAGUAGUCUUUUCCUAACCUUUUUCAGGAGGCUUUUUAUAUGGCACAAUGCAAGCAUUACCUAUAGUCUAUACUAUUUAUCAACUGCUGUUUCUAGGACCAAAUGACAGUGGCUUCUAUGUCUUCACCAUGAAAAAUAUUUUUUUGUAGAAUAUUUGUAUGUACCGUUGGAAAAGUGCGGAUUUCAGUAGGAGAUAGCACUUUCUUUUCCUUUGCAAACUGAAUUUUCUUUCCUAUGUUCCAUAGCUGAUAUGCAAUUCUGAGGAGGAAGAGAGUAAAAAUUAUUUUGUUUCCUGAUGUACUCUAUUUCUGACCCAUUUCUGUAGUAGUUGACCAUUCACAAUCUCUAGUCCAACAGCUCUAAGUCCUUUAGAUGGAGCCCCAACUUCCCCUUUUGCAAUGGUUAUUAAUUCCCUCCUUCCCACACCUAUCCUCAGUCCUCACCCUUUUGCAUGUACAUGCGCAUUCACACUCUGGAUAACCCCAGAUUCCAGGAGGCCAAUUGGUUGCCUCAGCCUCCCUUAGUCAGCAGACAGUCACUCAUGCUGUUGCUUUCUCUCCGAAUGAGUCCUACCCUCCAAGUUCCAGCGAAGCUACCCCUGGUGCCAUUUUCCUGUGGCCCCUCUGCACAGGAGACACCAAAUGAAGAGAGGGAGGCACUGCAAAGCCUGGAAGAGGAGGAGGGAAAGCCCAGAUAAAGCUUCCUCAAGACUUCUCCGUCCCAGCCACCCCUUGUUUUCCCAGGCGGGCCACAUCCUGGUUUGAGAGCUCUGGCUUUGACACAUUUGACACAUACGUUAAGCACUCCAUCAUACUGAUAAUUCCAGUUGUCCCUACUUCACCAUUGAGGAUCUGAGACCAGGUGGGAGGAAGGCUGGGUGCACCAACAUUUCUCCCAGCUCCAGCAGCUCCAAGUGACUGCUGUAACCUUCUGGCAUGGACUUUUGGGGUGUUGGAGCAACUGUUAUGCAGCUGCACCGUGUGCCAGUUACUCAAGCAG